GCAGGGCAUGGUGGUGCAGGCCUGUAAUCCCAGCGGCUGGGGAGGCUGAGACAGGAGGAUUGUGAGUUCAAAAGCCAGCCUCAGCAAUUCAGUGAGACCCUAAGCAACUCAGAGAGCCCCUGUCUCUA
rnacentral:sRNA from 1 species